UCGGUUUCCUCGGGGAAAAAAAAGAGUUCAGCAUUCACAUUCGCCGUCGUGAAGAGUCGAUUUUCCUGAGCCGCUGUCCUCCGAGAAGCGAGGCGCCGCCGGCUGCAUCUCCGUCGCCCGUCGCCGCCUAAACCAAGAUCCACCAGAUCUUACCUGUCCCCUGCCUGGGCUCUCCCGCUUCCGAUCCAUGGAGAUGGAGGAGGCGGAUAAAGGGGAGGUCUUCGAGAGGAACAACAAGUCGAGGCUGGAUAGCCAUCCGGGGGCGGCGGCGGGGACGGCCUGCCGGCUCACGGACGACCUCAUCCUGGAGAUCCUCUCCCGCAUCCCGGCCAGAUCCCUCCACCGCUUCAAGUGCGUCUCCGUGCGCUGGCGCGACCUCAUCGCCGACCCCGCCAACCGCAAGAAGCUGCCCCAGACCCUCGCCGGCUUCCUCUACACGGCCACCGCCGGCCGGAAUCGCCACCACUUCGCCAGCGUCUCCCGCGGCGCAGCCCCGUUCGACCCUUCCCUCCCUUACCUGCAGCCUAGCAAGUACAAGGACAUGGCUCAGGUGGACGCCUGCAAUGGCCUCCUUCUCUACCUAAGCUCCAGCAAGAACAUGGUGAACCCUUGGGCUUUGGCAGAGGACGAUUUCCGUUUUGUUGUGUGCAAUCCGGCCACUGGGAGGUGGGUGGAGCUGCCCCCUCAACCGCAGGCGCCGGCAGACAGAUUUAGAUAUAACUGUAUGGCAAGCCUAGCUUUUGAUCCGGCAGUCUCGUCCCAUUUCCACGUUUUUUGUUUUGAGGAGACCACUGUGGAAACGUACAUGACAGGAGUGAACGUCUACUCGUCGCGAACAGGAGCCUGGAGUCGCGGAGAUGGUGGGAUUGUUGAGAAAGUGGCGCUGUUCUUCUAUAGUAAGGGUGUCUUUGUCGGCGGUAUGAUGUACGUGAUUGGCAACCCGAAGGGCAUCAGCAACGAGCAUGUGCUCCUGGGGAUUGACAUGCAAGGUAAAGUGCGGAGGACUAUCCCUAUGCCGUACGGUCGAAGAUUUGGUACGAUUGGAUCGUCGCAGGGGUGCUUACUCUAUGCUGUAUCUUCCGUCGAUGAUAACAAUAAAAUCCUAUAUUCUGAGAUAGAACUCUGGUGCCUCAAGGAUUGUGACAGUAAAGAAUUGGUUCUGAAGCAUACUGCCAGCAUCGAUGAGCUUAUGAGCAUGACUGGGGAGAAGUACAGGGUGGUUGGGAUUCAUCCAGAUUGCGACACCAUUUUCCUGGUUUCACAUGGAGGUGAUACCUUGGUAGGGUACGAUAUGCAACAUCAGAAAGUUGGUUGUAUCAUUAAUCUUGAGAAGAAUACACAACGAUUUCUACCUUAUGUUCCUCUGUUCUCAGAGUCAUUAGCAGAUGGAGAUGGGUGGUAGUGUUACCUUCAAACCAGGCUUGUGCUUCCUCCAAGAAUUGGCUCUUCUGCCGGCUGAAGUACCUGUUUGUGUACCUCUGAAUCUGCUUGAAUCAUGCCGCUCAAUUUGCUGGUGCUUACACUCCUGCUUGGUUGAUUUUCGGUUCAGAGCAAUGCCUGGUAAACCUAGCACAGAUAGCAUCGGUGAAUUAAUUAACCAAGAACAGAAGGUGUAUUUCUGGAGACCUUCCCUACAUGAAAUGACAGCAAAGAUUCAACAAGAGUGGUAGCUACAGAUUGGAAGCUGGGAAAACUGCUCGUCAUAUAUAUGUCAACCUUUUGCAGGAGGCAACAAAAAAGGCAGAUGGGCACCUCUUUUCAGGUGCCUGGGAAGAACACGGCACACUCCAGGUACCACACAGCUGCCUUGAGAAAAUAGUAGUACGGCAGAAAAAUAUCAUUUGUUUUCAACUGAACUAGAGCUGUCAGUUGGCUGCCGUCAGGAGUUUCUUGUUUCAUAAAUGGCAGACUUCUGAUCUCUGUGCAAAACAAGUUUUUUUUUUUUUUUGAUAGCCAAUGGUGUUUAGUAUGGGUCAAGAGCCUGUAGAUUUUCUUAUAAACUGUCUGUCUGGUAUGGCUGUAAUCCUGAUGAUUAAUGUUGUGUUUGCCACGUUCUGAUCAUCUCGAUCAUGACUGGAGGUUCAGGAAGGAAUGCUAAGAUUCAGGCUGUGUCUGGUCUGGUACGUAGCACUCCCUCCGUCCCAAAAUAAGUGUCUUUGAUUUAGUACCACUUUGUACUAAAGUUGUACUAAAUCAAAGACACUUAUUUUGGUAUGGAGGGAGUAUCAUGCUUGCUUACUUAACCUCAUUAUAAACCCGUAGGUGUUAAAAUUUGUAGGUUAACAUUUUAACCCUGUGUACAUAAACUGGGAUUGGACGGGAACUGAUACAACUCUUCAAGCCUGAAAAUGGAUCUCUGUUCUCAGUUUUAUUUUAUUUUUUUACUUUUGGGGAGAAUCUUGCCAAGUGAGAGCUUGUCCGAUCUAUUUGUUCCUGUAUGUGAACAAUUUUUUUCUUGAAUUCUGCAAUUGAUGUUCUUCAGAAUGGGGCUCAAGUCUAAUAAAUAAUGGGAAGAUGGAGUUCAAGCAGUUUUCGCUUGUGCAAACUGUGUGCCCCAUCUAGGAUGGAGCAAUUUUGUAUAUUACUGUACCAUAUAUCUGAACAUUGCAAUGUCACAAGCUUCUGACCAGGGAACAGCUCUGCCUUGCUUAUCAUUUGAUGGAACACCUCCUUGUUUGGUUGAUCAUCAUCAAGAGCAGGUCGAGCGCCAGGUGACCUCUCCAGUUUUAGCAGUCCUGAGAAUUUCUGGAGUUACUUUUGGAGAAGAAUUGAUAUGUUAAAACAGAUGACGUUCAUCCCUCGCUUAGUAUUGCUGCGAUCUCUUCUUUUCUUGUCACUGCUACCGUCUCCCGGCUGGGUUCAGUUUGAACAUGGCCUGGAACUCAGAGAUAAGCACGUCCCCAUUUCCAUUCAAGAUUGCCGACAAAGCAGCUGAAGCAGACAGAACAAGAGAAUGUUAUGAUCUAUCCCCCUUUUUUCCUUGUAUGUACAUGCAUGGUGGUGAUACCUGUAUAAUUUGGUUUUGUGAUGCAAUGGAUCAUGGAUCUUUGGGCUGCAAUUCUAAAUUUUCCGAGAAAGAAUUCGGUAGUGGGGUUAAUUUUAAGAUGUGCAAUGGGAAACC